CUCAGCAAAUCAAGGUGAAGGCACCCACUUCAUCCUCUGUUUCUUUACUCUGUUCCCAAGGGACUCUAAAGGCCCAGCUGCUGCUCCAGUCACACCAUAGGCAAGCAGGGUCUGAGGGAAGACCAUGGCAAAGGGAGCCACCAGCAAGAGCAACCAUUGCCUGAUUCUGAGCCUUUUCAUUCUGCUGAGCUAUCUGGGGACCAUACUGGCAGAUGGUGAGAGAAGAUGAGAUAAGAUUUACAACCAUCUGGAGAACACUAGAUGCUCUGUCAGUCAAGAGUCCUUGUCCCUUUAUCCUAGGGAGCUCUGAACACAUGAGGGACCUGUUGAUUUUCUGCAUCAGUGUCUCAAUUCUGGAUACCUUGUCUGACUGUGAUAUGUCCAUCUAAUACCCUAGUGGGAAAUAGCUCAUCUCAUGAUGCCUUCCUGAGGCCUGAUGGUACUUCCAAUAGCCCGCAAACCAAAUGCCACUCUGUCCCAGAGCCCAUUAUCACCUCAGGAUCCAGGCUGGCUUCUACCCAAGCAAGGUGAUGCUCCAAUUACAAACUGCUCUGGGCCAUUUCCUAGGCUUAACUCCUCUUGCUGAUAGAUUGUUCCAGGCUAUGGAACACUAGAAGGAAAUCCAGUCUUGCUCCUCAUGGGUGUAUUAUCUCAGAAUGCCUUCAACCUACAAGAAUAGAGAUGAACAGGUGUAACUGAGACUCUGUGACCUACAAAUACUUCAAUUUUGACAUCAUUGCUGUAUUAGUUAUUUUCUAUUGCUAUGAUAAAACACCAUAAAGAAGGAAGAUGUUGUGGGCAGAUAGCUUCAAAGGGACAAGAGUCCAUCACCAUCACAGCAGGGAGCACAGCAGCAGGCAGGCAUGAUGGCUGGGGCAGCGAGCUGAGAGCUCACAUCAUAAACCUCAAGCAAGAUGCAGAGAUGGAGAAAUGGGAAUUGCAUAGGUUUUUGGGUUUCAGAGCCACAUUCCCAAUGAUCCACUUCCUUAAGUAAGAUUACACCUCCUUAAUCUAUCUAAACAGCUGCUACCACGUGGGUAGUCAAAGACCAGAGCCUAUGCAGGAGAGUUUCCUUUAUUUUUAUUUAUCUUUUUAUGAAUUAUUUUAUUAAUUUACAUUUCAAAUGAUAUCCCCCUUCCUGGUUAUACCUCCACAAACCCCUCAUCCUACCCUCCCUCUCUUCUUUCCCCUUUGCCUCUAUGAGGGGUCUCCUCCACCCACUCAUCCACUCCUGCCUCACUGCUCUAGCAUCCCCCUAUGCUGGGGUAUCAAGCCUCCUCAGGAAAAGGGGCCUCCCUUCCCAUUGAUGAUAUAAGGCUAUUCUCUGCUCCAUAUGUAUCUGGAGCCAUGGUUCCCUCCAUGUAUACUCUUUGGUUGAUGGUUUAGGUCCUGGGAGCUCUGGGGGGUUCAGUUAGUUGAUAUUGUUCUUCCUAUGGGAUUGCAACCCCCUUCCUCUCCUUCAGUCCUUCCCCUAGAACUUCCAUUUGGGUCCCUGAGCUCAGUCUGAUGGAUGGCUGUGAGUAUCUGCAUCUGUAUUUUUCAAGUGCUGGUAGAAUCUCUCAGGGAAGAGCCAUACCAGGCUCCUGACAGCAAGUACUUCUAGGCAUCAGCAAUAGUGUAGGGGUUUGGUGUUUGCAGAUGAGAUGGAACCCUAGGCAAGACAAUUUCUGAUGGCCUUUCCUUCAGUCUCUGUUCCAUUUUUUGUCCCUGUCUUUCCAUUGUACAGGAACAUUUCUGGGUUAAAAAUUUUGUGAUGUGUGGGUGGCUCCAUCCCUCAACAGGGUCCAGUUUCAAUCUACUGGAGGUGGUCUGUACAGGUUGUAUCUCCUCGUUGUUGGGUAUUUUUGCUAAUGUCAUCCCCAUUGGGUCUUGGGAGUCUCUCACUUCCCUGGAGUCUAGGACCAGUUCCUCAUUACCCACUGCUACAUGCUUCUAUUCAAUUUAAUGAUCCUUUGAACUUCUCUCCUGUCCCUUCCAAAGACCGAUCUUGCUCCCUUUUUUCUCUCCCCCUCCUUUUUCUCCCAUGUCCCUUUCUCCCUCUAUCUCCUGUGAUUGUUUUGUUCCCUGUUCUAUGUAGGACUGAAGCAACUACAGUUUGGUCUUCCUUAUUCUUAAGCUCUGAGAGUCUUCUUUAAACUACCACUCUAAACAUUCACAGUAGCAUCGAGGGGUUGUUCCUGAGUGCCAGGAUAAUAAUGACGUGAGACAGAAAAAAAAUCACAGCAUUUACUGUGGAGAUGAGUGGUCUCUACUUGUUGGGGCCUGAUUGAUCCUCUUAGGAAGUCAAUCUGGGUCUUUGAGGUGGUUCACUUUUAAAUUGUUUGAGAUCUAUUUUUAUUUUAUGUGCAUAAUAUUUUAACUUCAUCAUGCACGUGUACCAUGUGUGUGAUUGGUGCCCUUGGAAACUACAACAGGGCAUAGGAGCCCCUAUAAAAUGGAGUUACAGGCAGUUGUGAACUACCAUGUGGUUGCUGGGAAUAAAUCUAGAUCUUCUGCAACAGCAACAAGUGCCCCUAAGCCCUGUGCCAUCUCUCUGGCCUCCGUUUUAUAGUUUUACACGGUUGACACAGCAGCUUUCAUGUGUAGUGGACUUUUUCAUCUGUAAUGGACUUUAUUCCUGGGGCUCCUUUUCUCCUCAAACUAUACCUUUUGUAUUUUUCCUUUCUCAGCUUGCUACUUUUCAUUAUAGAUCUGCAUAAGAGUGAUCACUAACACCCACAUGACAGUCAAUACCAAGAUGUCUUGAAAUAUCUUCUGUCAAAAUCAUUAAUCCUAAACUCUUCAAUUUAGUCUUAGACAGUUUUUUCCCCCCAGGGGAGGGGAGGGCAGAGCCCAAAAGUAAAGACAUUCUUCAAAAAAAAAAUCACAAAGACAUUUUCUAGGACACUUCUCUGAAACCAAUUAUACCAGGCUGUGCUAAUCUAUAUUUCUCUAGGCACCACUGACUUCCAUGGUCUUGCUCCUAUGACCCAUUUCGCUUUGCUAAAAAUGUUCAACUUCUUUGCUAAUUCAAAGUUCAAAAGUCCACAUUCUGCCCAUAAGCAGGUUGGUCAGGCUUGUCACAGCAAUACCCCACUUCCAGGUACCAAGUUUUACCUUGGUUAGUGUGGUGGUUUGAAUAUGCUUGGCCUAGGGAGUGGCUUGGCUAUUAGGAGGUUUGGCCUUGUUGGAGCAAGUAUGGCCUGGUUGGAGGAAGUGUAUCACUGUGGGCGUGGGAUUUGAGACCUUUCUCCUAGCUGCCUUAGGGACAGUCUCCUCUUGGCUUCCUUUAGAUGAAGAUAUAGAGCUCUCACCUCCUCCUGCACCAUGCCUGCCUGGAUGCUGCCAUAUUCCCACCUUGAUGAUAAUGGACUGAGCGUCUGAACCUGUAAACCAACCCCAAUUAAAUGUUGUACUUUAUGAGAGUUGCCUUGGUCAUGAUGUCUGUUCACAGCAGCAAAACGAUAACUAAGACACUCAGUGUCCUAACUAAAACACAGUGACCAUUUAUUGGGGCUUGCUUACCUUCUCAGAGGUUUGGUCUUUUUUUUUCCUCCUCAGGGUAGGGAGCAUAGAGCUAACAGUCAGAUAUGGUAGUUGAGAGUUCUACAUCCCUACCUAAAGGCCACAAGAGGACAGAGACUAUGGGCUGCAAACUGGUUUUUCAAACUUCAGGGUAGCUCCAGUGACCGGCUUCCUCUGAUUUGGGUACAAUUACUCCAACAAAGCCACAGUACGAAUUUCAUUACACAUCUCUUGACAUGGAUUUCUCUGAGUCUUUUUACACACCUUUUACUAUGAGUUUUAGAGGUUCUAGAUUCUGUAUUUCAUCGAGCAUGGACUAGUCUCUAACCAGAUUCCUAUAACACACGGGCAUUAGCUCCAGAGAAUUCUGGUGGUUCACUGAUGACUAAAAGUCUUGUGCCCAAAGCAUGAGGGGAAUGCUGAGUUUACACUGUCAGCUUCACAACCAUGAGAACCUGAGCUGCUCCUUGGGCCUCCUAUAAAAGUGAUGGGCAUGGUGCUGUGUGCUUUCAUUCUUAGUACUAGCAAGGCAGAGGCAACUAUGCAUAACUUCAUUGUCCCCUACAGACCUCCACAGGCCCUGCAUGCACAUGGUACACAGAUAGAAGCACUGGCAAAUACUGUGCAAAUACAAUAAAAAUAAAUAAUCUCUGAGUCACUGGCAAGCCUGUCGUGUCAUCUUGGCCAGUCGCAAGCAUCGUAGAGACCUUGUCUAAUCAGUAUUACUGUGGCAUUUGUGUAAGAUGUUGUAAAAAUGUUUUUCUUACCAAAAUAUGGAGAUCAGUGUGCAAUACUUCCUUUUAAGACAUUUGCCAUCAUCAUCAUCAUCAUUUUUUAUUAGUGCAAAUAUUUGAAGUCAGGAAUGCUUUCUUUAAGUCACCUUCAUUACUCACUGUUCCUCAUUUAGCAAAGCAGUUUCCUUUAAUUAAACUUCUAAGUGGGUUUUCUUACAGAUCACGAAUGCAUAUUUUAUCCUAAUCUACCUAAGUGGAAAAUUUGUGACUUUACUUCACAACCCCAAAGUUAGUCUUGGGUUUCAGAGUACUUAUGGUCUCCUCCACCAAGUCUGCUGUUGAGGGUCUACUUAGUGAGACGGAAUCCCAGCCACUCAAGGAGAAACUCAAGCCUUAGUGGGUUAGGACCAGGAAAGCAGAAUAGGGGUGAGGUAGGGAGAAAACAGGCGGCAGGGGCAGAGAUAGGAAGGGAAGAGGAAGCUGGCUGAAGGGAACAGGAAAGGGGUCCCCAAACCUGCAUCACUGUACUUCACAGCUAAAGUUUGGGGGAAGGAGAGAGGAGAGAGGAAAAAGGUUGUUUGUUUUUUAACAUCUCUUUCUCUUUUGCAUUUUAAGUUCAAUUAUAUUGUUUAUGUCUAAUGAUUUCCUUUAAUAAAAUAGUAUUUAAUCUUAUGUUCCAGUGCUCAUACAAAUACAGGGCACUAAAUAUGCACAUGCCUCAUCAGGUCUUGCCUGCUUCCUCGUCUAGUCUGCAUAAAAGGAGAGCUCUAGGAUACUGUGUCCUCUUUGGCUGUUAGUGAAAGUCUGGGAAACCAGGGGCCAUAAGUGUGCUGGGUAAAAGAACCAAAGGAAGGGAAGAGAGAUGGGGCUUCAAGCAGGUCUCAGACAGGCAGAGAUCUCACCCUGAGAAUGGAUUAGGUGAGUGGCUUAGCGUGGGAAAACCUGAGAUCUGAUGCCCAGCAGUGUUGUGUGAAGGGCUCAGUGGGAGCAGGGAUGAGCACUGAGCUCACAGCUGGCAGCUCCCUUUCCAUGCCCAGCUGCAGCCUUACUCCAGGAUCUUUCCUGAACACCAGGCUCCAUGUUGACUGUACCAUGUGUUCUAGGAUGCCUCCUUACCUUCUAUGUGUUCAGCUAGGUUUUCAUCCCCAGGAACAUGGUUGCUUUUGGGCAUAUUUUAUACUUCAGUAGUUGAUAUUAGUCACUCAAAGUACGUAUAAGAUAAAUCUUCCUGGUGACAUAUGUGCAUCUGAGCAGUCCUACCGACCCAAGACAGUUAAAGAUGGCACAGAGCUAAGGAUCUGGAAAUUGGUGGCGUGCUUGAUUAGAGGCUUCUCUUCCUGACCCUUUCCUGUCAGAGGGAUUCUGAGUGCUAGAAAUCCAUGACUGCUCUGGACCCUUGCUCCCACUUUGGACCUCACCUG